UUGAACGCUGGCGGCAUGCCUUACACAUGCAAGUCGAACGGCAGCACGGGAGCAAUCCUGGUGGCGAGUGGCGAACGGGUGCGUAAUACAUCGGAACGUGCCCAGUAGUGGGGGAUAACCCGGCGAAAGCCGGACUAAUACCGUAUACGACCUACGGGUGAAAGCGGGGGAUCGCAAGACCUCGCGCUAUCGGAGCGGCCGAUGUCAGAUUAGCUAGUUGGUGGGGUAAAGGCCUACCAAGGCGACGAUCUGUAGCUGGUCUGAGAGGACGACCAGCCACACUGGGACUGAGACACGGCCCAGACUCCUACGGGAGGCAGCAGUGGGGAAUUUUGGACAAUGGGCGCAAGCCUGAUCCAGCCAUGCCGCGUGCGGGAAGAAGGCCUUCGGGUUGUAAACCGCUUUUGUCAGGGAAGAAACGCUCCGGGCUAAUACCACGGAGUAAUGACGGUACCUGAAGAAUAAGCACCGGCUAACUACGUG
rnacentral:rRNA from 1 species